rnacentral:rRNA from 1 species
AUGAGAUUCACAUUCCCUGACGGCCAGUUUAGGAUCUUCAGCCCAGCAUCCAUAGUUAGAACCUUGGGUCUAAAGAAUAGUGGGCGACAUGUGAGCUUGCUAAAGAUACCUCGAAAGCAGAGGCAAAACAUAGCAGAAGAGAUCAGGAGUGCACUGGGCAGACACAAUCAUCCGGGCAUGCGAGAUGGUGGAUUGAGCAUAGAAGCAAUCUUAGAGAUGUUCCGACACAUGAAUCCACUGAAACUAUCUCGAGCUCAGGAGAGGGCUGCAGAGAUGGGGUUUUCACUUCUAGCUGCUGGUACAUAUGUUGCCCCAAAGCAAUUGUACCAGAACAUAGCUUGGGAAAUACUUGCAUGUGUGCUAUGCGAAGGCGGGACAUCAGAUUAUGACCUGGCAGAAUGGGCAUUUGAAGUAAUUAGGGAAGCAUGA